CACAUUUAUCUUCAUGUAAUUAUAAUUAUAUAUUGUUAAUUGUUAUCCUUUAGAAGACUGAACGAUGAUUGUAUUUCGCAAGGGUCAACUAAACUAAAAUGCAAAAAUAAUCAAGUGAGGUGUGCAGCACCGCGUUAGGAGAUUUACAUGAGGAUCGAAUGUUGAUCAAAAUAGUUCAAAUUCUCCCACAGACAGUGGUCUACAGUGGUCAGAAGUCCACGAUGUACAAGAGACAGUGUUUAAAAGAGAAGAAAAAUAACCACGAGGCUUAUGACGUCAUCAUGAGACGAUGGUUUCUAUACCCUGUCCGUCGAGAAAUCAUGACGCGGCCCGCGAUCCGACGAAAAUUGGCUGUUCUUCGCAUCCCCCCGCGGCACCCAAUGUGACUAUAUAGCGUUCCACCCGGAGACCGCACUGUCUGCCAGCUGCUUAGUCUUCACUCUUCAGUCUACAUGCGCCAACCCGGCAUGGUCUCUCAGCGAACAGGGUACAACGAGUGUCGAACAGUUAGCCACUUGGCAUAGUUUAUGCCGCAUAGAUAAGUAUAAAACUAACUUGGACACUCCUCAUCCUUUAAACAGAUAUGAUAGGUAAAAAUAGUAAUAAUCUAGCUAAACAUUAAGAGGGCGUCGCGCCAGUGAUUUUCAGUGGUAAAAACAUGUUUACGCUAACUGAAAAUAACUCGCUUAAUGUUGUUUUAAAGUAAAACAACAUAUUAUAAAAUUAAAAGAGAACAAUAUU